rnacentral:lncRNA from 1 species
UGUCGCUGAAGGACAGGGAGCGGCAGCUAGGGUUUCGCAGUGCAAAUAUUCGCGGUGCUGUGGCGGCCGGCGGCCGUCUUCUACUAUCCGCGGCGACUGUUGUCUGCUAUCCACGUGCUGUGGCGGCUGGCCUGUGCUCCUAUCCGCGGUUGCCGAGGUAUGAACUGCUCUACUUUCCCUAUUCGCGGUUGCCUGUGCUCUGCUAUUCGCUCGCUCGCUCGCUCGACCACAGUGCGCUGCGAACUGACGGAACAGGCCUGCUGGAGCCGCACCUUGCCAGAGCAGUGCGCUGUCCAUCACCUUGCCAUCGCACAGGAAAAAAACUGUAACUAGCUAGCAAAGCACGUGUCUGAAUUAAAAAACAUAGAACAGAGAACUAGAGAGUACUCUGUGCGAGCAAAAGAACAUGUUGAACGAAGGUAGUAUGUCGUAGUCAAAAGAUUAUGUAGAGCCUAUGGUAUUGCAUUUUGGUUGAUGGAAAAUGCUGAAACACCUUUGGGCGUUUUAGAUUUUAAUUUUUGAUAGCAUUCCUUUUUGAAGGCGUACCCUCCAGCGCGCUGCAUAUAUUUUUGAUAGCAUUCCAAUCGCAAGAGUACCCUCCAACAGAAUCGCAAUGAACAGAGACAUUAUAGGCAGCAUUCCUUUUUGAUAGGUGCAUAUAUUUGUUUUAGAUUUUAAUUUUUUUACAGCAAUAUGGAUUUUAAUGCCAUUGGGAGGACAUUGGGUGCAAGAUCAAUUGAGCAAACUUGUGACAGCAAGUGAGAAGAGCACAACAUCCGUUGAGUCUUUGGCAAGAAAGGAGGACAUUGGGUGCUCCAUUAGAGAUAUCAUGGCAUUGGUGAAGGAGUGUGGUGCAGUUCUAGGAACAAAAGAACACUUCAUAGCAUCUCAAGUUUUUGUCAAGAGGGCAGAGAGGGAAAUGUUUAUGACUUUGGACACACUGGAAGAACGCUUCAACUGGCUUACAAUGAAACAUGAUUGGGUCACUAGGAUGAUUCACUAGGAUCUGUAAUUUUUUGUAGCACUGCUGUGUUGUACCAUGCGCUUGAAGCUGACGAAGAUUUAUUUCCACACCCCCCUCUAGGUAAACAAAUGUCAAAAAAUUGUUCUACUUUUUGUCCACAUAUUUUUCAAGGUUCUAAUAAUUGUAUGUUACAGGAAAGUACUAUGUUGUUGAUGCUGGAUAUCCAAAUAGGGAUGGGUACUUGGCCUCGUACAAAGGACAACGGUAUCAUGUUCCGGAAUGGAGAAAUGGUCCUCCACCUAAUGGUGAGCAAGAGCUCUUCAAUCAUUUACACUCAAGUCUACGGAAUGUUGUUGAACGCACAUUUGGUGUAUGGAAGAUGAAAUGGAGAAUUCUUCUUAAGAUGCCAACUUAUCCUAUGGACAAACAAAAAAUGAUUGUUGUUGCUACAAUGUGUCUUCACAAUUUCAUCCGUGAGAAUAGUGCAUUGGAUGAGGAUUUUCAGAGAUGUGAUCGAGACCCAGAUUAUAUCCCUACUAUUCCAUCCCGUUAUAGGCGACAUGUCCCUCAGAAUGCAUCAGAUACAUCUACCACAGGGUCGAGUAGUAGGAACAUGAAUAGGUUCUGCGAUGAUGUAUCGAAGGUACUUUGGGAGUCGAGGUGAUUAGAAAAGGUGGUUCGUGUCAUAUUUUGGAUAUCGUGUCGUGCUAGUUUUAUGCAAUUUAUGGAUUAAACAUUUGAGACCAUUUUAUGCACUAAUAUGAUGGGAAUAUUUUAUAUGUUAUUGUUUCAUAUUUUUUCUGUAUAUGCAUCUUACUUAUUGGUUUGUAACAAAGUUGAACUACAAAGGGUAAAACAGACAAUCGCCACAGACCACCAACUUUCAACAUACAAGAAUCAGUUUACUUGUCAAACGGUUUUAAAAAUGAUUCUGAUUCUCUAGGAGAAUCAGGAGGAUCAGCUCCUCAGGAGGAUCAUGAUCUGGAGCUAAAGAAGCUGGAGCUUGUGCAUUGCCAAACGGUUCCUAAAAAUCAGAGAAAUUAUUUAGAAAAUGAUUUCUAGUACUAAAUUAAUUGCAGAAACUUGAUUAAUUCCUAGAAAAUUCAUAUUAAGUCCAAAUUGGUCCAUUCUAGUUCCUAUAAUUUUGUAUUAAUAUUGUCUAUCAAAUGAUAACAUUUUGUCUAUCAAAUGGUAACUUUUUUUAACAUGAAACACAUAAUAAAAUUGAUCACUCAAUUAAUUUUGUACCAAACACGUAAGAACUUCGGAAAAUCAUAUCUCGAAAUCUGUAGCUCUGAAUUUAGUGAUUCUUUUUUCUAUGAUCUCGUUACGAUGCGUAGAUUAUUAUUAUGUAUUUUGUAUUCAUGUUUAGUUUGAUGUUAAUUUCUCCCUUGUAUCAUGCUUGUUAGUAUUGUGGCGAGUAGAAGAGCCAGUGGCUGAGGAGUCAGGUGUUCAGCAGGUAGAAGUUGCUGAGCAGGAGCUCAUUGAAG